rnacentral:snRNA from 1 species
AUCGCUUCUCGGCCUUUUGGCUUAGAUCAAGUGUAGCAUCUAAAACUGUCAAUCAGUGGUCAUGGCCUACUUGACUCUUUAAUGCUCACUGGUGUCUGUAGAAAUUUGACCCUUUUCUAAACUUUUUUUAAAGUUUAUUUAUUUAUUUUUGAGAGAGAGAGAGA